AAAAGGCCCAAGGCCCAGUCCCGUGGAAGCCGGGACCGCCCCUUCGGGGGCGCGGCGCUUACAGCCACAAAC
ncrna:unclassified sequences Twister-sister ribozyme sequence